rnacentral:rRNA from 1 species
UACGUAGGGUUCGAGCGUUGUCCGGAAUUAUUGGGCGUAAAGAGCUCGUAGGCGGUUUGUCGCGUCUGCUGUGAAAUCCCGAGGCUCAACCUCGGGUCUGCAGUGGGUACGGGCAGACUGGAGUGCGGUAGGGGAGAAUGGAAUUCCUGGUGUAGCGGUGGAAUGCGCAGAUAUCAGGAGGAACAUCCGUGGCGAAGGCGGCUCUCUGGGACGGUACUGACGCUGAGACGCGAAAGCGUGGGGAGCGAACAGG